UUUGGUGAAAGUUUCCAAUGGGAGACUUCGGGAGAGAGAUAUCCCUCUCGAAAGGCUACUAGUAUAUUGCCUUUUUUUUUUAAUAUUGCAAUAUAUUGCUAUCUUUUGUAUUCUUUUUGUAGAGUUUUGUCGUUAGGUUGGUAUUUUAUUCUAAAAAGAGAUUUGAUUCUGUAUAUUAAUGUAAAUAAGGUUUAGUUAUUUUGGGUAAUGAUAUUAAUGUAAAUAAAGUAGGUUUAGUUUAUUUGGGUAACUAACCUUGUAUAAAUACACUCCCUUUGAUCAAUCAAAUAGAUAAAGAGAAUAUUCUUCAGAAUAUACUUUCACAUGGUAUCAGAGCUAGGGUUUUUCAUCUUAGCCGCCGCCGCCGCCGUCGCCGCACACCCGUGAAAGUCUCCGUCUCCGUCUCCGUCGCCGUCGCCGCCCACUCGCAGCCGUUCCGUCAUCGUCAUCCUCAUCGCGCCGCAGACAGCUUCGAUCUGUCUCCAGCCCUUCCGCGCGCCUUGCAGACAGCUCCGAUCUGUCUCCAGCCACAACAUCGGCGUCGCGCCGAUCAGCAGCAGCCUCGGCAUCGCAGCAGCCUCGGCAUCGCAACAUCGGCCGUUUCCGCUCCGAUUCAUCUCCAUCCGCGAGGCAGCCGCAUCGUUUCCGCUCCGAUUCGUCUCCAUCCGCGAGGCAGCCGUACGCGUCACCUUCCGAUUCGUCUCCAUCCGCGAGGCAGCCGUACGCGUCACCUUGCGGCCGCCGUCCAGAUCUGUACCGCAAAACCUUCCGCCGCUGCCGCCAUUGCUCUUCCGCCGCUGUCCAGCCGUCUCAGCCGGAUCUGCCUCCGUUGGAAACCCUAUCUUUCCAAGUUUCUUUGAUUUCAUUUUUCGCAGAUCUAGCUCCGUCUUCCACUCUGUCGAUGUUUCGAAGUUCGUAGAUCGAUAGAUCUUUUGUAGAUCUACACGCUGAUCGUGGUUUCUUGUCGAUUCGGUCUCUGGUGACAGAUCUGCACGGUUCAACACCAGAUCUGACGAAUCCUUCAGCCGUUUGUCUUCAAGUUUUUUUUGUUGUUUGUCUCCGUUCCCAGCCGUGCACCCCUGAAUCCAGUCACGGCCGAAAAUCCGCAUUGUUAACCCCAAAUCAAAAUGGAGAGAGACCAUAUCUUUAGACCCAUUUCUACCAUACUUGAUGGUACAAAUUAUAUCACAUGGGCAAAUCAAAUGAAAAGUUUUCUUAUUGGAAGAAAACUAUGGCGCAUUGUAACUGGCGACAUCACCAAACCAACUGCAAAGGAAGGGGAUAACACAUUCAUUGAACGUCUCGAAGAUUGGGACAGUAAAAAUCAUCAAAUUAUCACCUGGCUUGGUAACACCUCUAUUCCCGCUAUACAUGCACAGUUUGAUGCCUUUCAUGAUGCUAAAAUAUUAUGGGAUUUUUUGUCUACACGCUUCAAGUCUAUUGGUUUAGCCCAUUAUUACCAACUGCACAGUACACUUGUAAAUCUAAAUCAAGAUUCUGGUCAGUCUGUUAAUGAAUAUUUGGCAGUUCUUCAACCCAUUUGGACUCAACUUGACCAAGCGAACAUCAGCAAAGAUCAUCUUCGCCUUAUUAAAGUCCUUAUGGGAUUACGUCCAGAAUAUGAAUCUGUUAGAGCUGCUUUACUACACCGGAAUCCCUUACCCUCAUUAGAUGCAGCUAUUCAAGAAAUUCUGUUUGAAGAAAAGCGUCUUGGCAUCAACUCUACUAAACAAUCUGAUGUUGUCCUUGCUAGCACAUACACUCCCAACAGAGCCGCAAAUAUGUUUUGUAAGAAUUGUAAGCUCUCUGGUCACAAAUUUAGUAACUGUCCUAAAAUAGAGUGCAGGUACUGCCAUAAACAUGGCCACAUUCUGGAUAACUGCCCUACCAGACCACCCCGACCUCCUAGCACUUCCACAAAAGAGAAAAUUUUUACCAAACAUGGUUCCUCAUCUGUUGUUGCUGCGACCUCGGAUGAUUCAUCCCCAUUCAGAUAAGUGAUCUUCAGAGCUUAUUGAAUCAACUAAUUUCAUCAUCAUCCGCUCUGGCUGUUUCAUCAGGUAAUCGAUGGCUUCUUGAUUCUGCCUGUUGUAAUCAUAUGACCUCUGACUCUUCUCUUAUGUCUACGUCUAGCCCUACAAAAUCUUUACCUCCUAUUUAUGCUGCUGAUGGUAAUUGUAUGAACAUCUCUCAUACUGGUACCAUUGAUACUCCCAGUGUACAUCUUCCCAUACUUACUGUGUUCCUAACCUGACCUUUAAUCUAGUGUCUGUUGGUCAAUUAUGUGAUCUGGGCUUAAAUGUUUCAUUUUCUCCCAAUGGUUGUCAGGUUCAGGAUCCGCAGACGGGACAGACGAUUGGAACGGGUCGCAAAGUGGGAAGAUUGUUUGAGCUCACAUCACUUCGGAUUUCAUCUCCUUCUUCCAUCUCUGCUUCGGUCACUGAUUCUGACACAUAUCAGUGGCAUCUUCGUCUUGGUCAUGCUUCCUCUGAAAAACUUCGUCAUUUAAUUUCUGUUAACAAUUUGACUAAUCUUACUAAAUUUGUUCCUUUUAAUUGUUUGAAUUGCAAACUUGCUAAACAACCUGCCUUAUCUUUUUCUCAAUCCAUCUCUAAUUGUGAUAAACCUUUUGAUUAGUGCAUUCUGAUAUUUGGGGUCCUGCCCCAAUUACUACUGUUCAUGGUUAUCGCUACUAUGUUUUAUUCAUUGAUGACUACUCUCGAUUUACAUGGAUUUACUUUCUAAAACAUCGUUCUGAAUUAUCUCGCACAUAUAUUGAGUUUGCUAACAUGAUUCGCACUCAAUUUUCCUCUCCCAUCAAAAUUCUUCGCACUGAUAAUGCUUUGGAAUAUAAAGAUUCCAUCCUUCUUUCUUUUCUUUCCCAACAGGGCACUAUUGUUCAGCGCUCUUGCCCUCAUACCUCUCAACAAAAUGGACGUGCUGAGCGCAAACAUCGUCACAUUCUUGACUCAGUACGUGCCCUCCUUCUUUCUGCCUCUUGUCCAGAAAAAUUCUGGGGUGAAGCUGCCCUUACAUCAGUAUAUACAAUCAAUCGUCUCCCUUCCUCUGUCCUUCAAAAUACCUCUCCGUUCGAAAAACUAUAUGGUAUUUCUCCCGACUAUUCUAAACUCAAAGUUUUUGGUAGUGCCUGCUUCGUUCUGUUACAUCCUCAUGAACACAAUAAACUUGAACCACGUGCCCGUCUCUGUUGCUUCCUUGGCUAUGGCACCGAACACAAAGGAUUUCGUUGUUGGGACCCUCUUUCCAACCGACUCCGGAUAUCUCGGCAUGUCACUUUUUGGGAACACACUAUGUUCUCUCGUUUGUCCUCCUUCCACACCUCCUUCUCUAGUCCUCAAUCUUUCUUUACAAACACAUCUGUUGACCUUUUUCCUCUCUCUGAACCCACCUUGGAUACUGAGCUUGCACAAUCUUCACCUGCUACUGCAAAUCUGGAUCCACCGUCUGUCUCCGAUGAUGUUCCUGAAUCGCCACCUGCUACUCCUCUUCGUCGCUCUACCAGGGUAAGAGAACCUCCCCCUCAUCUCACUGAUUACCAUUGUUUUUCUACCAUUGUUUCCCUUGUUGAACCCACCUCUUAUCAAGAGGCCAGUAUUAACCCAGUAUGGCAGAAAGCAAUGGAUGAAGAAUUACAGGCUCUUGAAAAGACGCACACUUGGGACUAUGUUGAUUUACCUCCCGGUAAAAGACCCAUUGGUUGCAAAUGGAUUUACAAAAUCAAAACUCACUCUGAUGGAACUAUUGAACGUUAUAAAGCUCGGCUUGUUGCAAAAGGAUACUCACAAGAAUAUGGGAUAGACUAUGAAGAAACAUUUGCCCCUGUUGCCCGGAUGACAUCUGUUCGCAGCUUGUUAGCUGUUGCUGCUGCCAAACAGUGGCCUCUUUUUCAGAUGGAUGUCAAAAAUGCAUUUCUUCACGGCAACCUAUCUGAAGAAGUGUAUAUGAAGCCACCUCAGGGAACUUCUCCUCCUCCCAACAAGGUGUGUCUCCUUCGUCGCGCUCUAUACGGUCUAAAACAGGCUCCACGAGCUUGGUUUGCCACGUUUAGCUCCACCAUUACUCAACUUGGAUUUACCUCCAGCUCUCACGACAAUGCCCUUUUUACACGACAGACAACUCAUGGUAUUGUUCUUCUCCUUCUUUAUGUUGAUGAUAUGAUUAUUACUGGUAAUGAUCAACAGGCCAUAUCCGACCUACAACAAUAUCUUGGUCAACAUUUUGAGAUGAAAGACCUUGGAUCUCUCAAUUACUUUCUCGGUCUUGAAGUCUCUCACCGUUCAGAUGGUUAUCUGUUAUCUCAAGCGAAAUAUGCAUCUGAUCUAAUAGCACGCUCAGGAAUUACAGACUCCACCACAUCUUCAACACCGUUAGAUCCUCAUGUCCAUCUAACUCCGUUUGAUGGUGUUCCUCUUGACGAUGCAAGCUUGUAUCGGCAACUUGUUGGCAGUCUUAUAUACCUAACAGUAACUCGCCCAGAUAUUGCAUAUGCUGUUCAUAUUGUCAGUCAAUUUAUGGCUGCUCCUCGAACAAUUCAUUUCACUGCUGUUCUACGCAUACUUCGCUAUGUCAAAGGCACCUUGGGACAUGGUCUUCAAUUCUCAUCUCAGUCUUCCCUUGUGUUGUCGGGAUAUUCUGAUGCUGAUUGGGCGGGGGAUCCUACUGAUCGACGAUCCACUACAGGAUACUGUUUUUACUUAGGUGAUUCUCUCAUCUCAUGGCGUAGUAAGAAAAAAGUGUUAUAUCUCGUUCCAGUACGGAAUCUGAAUAUCGUGCUCUGGCUGAUGCUACAGCUGAACUUAUAUGGCUUCGGUGGCUCCUUGCCGAUAUGAGUGUCCCUCAACAGGGUCCUACCCUCCUCCAUUGUGACAAUCGUAGUGCCAUUCAGAUUGCUCACAAUGAUGUGUUUCAUGAACGUACAAAACACAUUGAAAAUGACUGUCACUUUGUUCGUCACCACCUCUUAAGCAACACCCUCCUCUUACGUUCUGUUUCUACUAUUGAACAACCUGCGGAUAUCUUCACCAAAGCCUUGCCAUCUAAUCGAUUUUGUCACUUACUUACCAAACUCAAGUUGAUCGCUACUCUACCACCUUGAGUUUGAGGGAGGGUAUUAAUGUAAAUAAGGUUUAGUUAUUUUGGGUAAUGAUAUUAAUGUAAAUAAAGUAGGUUUAGUUUAUUUGGGUAACUAACCUUGUAUAAAUACACUCCCUUUGAUCAAUCAAAUAGAUAAAGAGAAUAUUCUUCAGAAUAUACUUUCACACUGUAAUUAGUUGUCUUAUUAUGUAAGAUGAAUUCAAUGGCCAGAGAACCAUCCACUCCAAUUCCCCACUCUAAGCCUGUGUCAAUAAAGAGAUUUGAUUAUGUAAUUAGUUGUGUUAUUAAUAUUGCCUUGAAUGGA
rnacentral:lncRNA from 1 species